AGUAACGCGUGAGGAACCUGCCUCAAAGAGGGGGACAACAGUUGGAAACGACUGCUAAUACCGCAUAAGCCCACGGCUCGGCAUCGAGCAGAGGGAAAAGGAGCAAUCCGCUUUGAGAUGGCCUCGCGUCCGAUUAGCUAGUUGGUGAGGUAACGGCCCACCAAGGCGACGAUCGGUAGCCGGUCUGAGAGGAUGAACGGCCACACUGGAACUGAGACACGGUCCAG
rnacentral:rRNA from 1 species